rnacentral:rRNA from 1 species
AGCAGCCGCGGUAAUUCCAGCUCCAAUAGCGUAUAUUAAAGUUGUUGCAGUUAAAAAAGCUCGUAGUUGAAUUUCGGGAUCAUCAGGUUGGUCGUGCCUCUGGUAUGUACUGAUUUCGAUGGUUCCUCCUUCUUGAAGAACCGUAAUGCCAUUAAUUUGGUGUUGCGGGGAAUCAGGACUGUUACUUUGAAAAAAUUAGAGUGUUUAAAGCAGGCAAUCGCUUGAAUACAUUAGCAUGGAAUAAUGAAAUAGGACGUUCGAUCCUAUUUUGUUGGUUUCUAGGAUUGACGUAAUGAUUAAUAGGGAUAGUUGGGGGCAUUAGUAUUCAAUUGUCAGAGGUGAAAUUCUUG